rnacentral:rRNA from 1 species
GAACGCUUUCGGGGNUGCAUGCAUCGNGGGGAGUGGCGCACGGGUGCGUAGCGCGUGGAACCUGCCUGGGAGUGGGGGAUAACCGAUGGAAACUUCGGCUAAUACCGCAUGCGCCCCCGGGAAACCGGGGGGAAAGAUUAUCGCGAGAUAAUUCGCUCUUGGAGGGGCCCGCGUCGGAUAAGCUUGUUGGUGGGGUAACGGCCCACCAAGGCGUCUAUCCGUAUCUGGUCUGAUAGGAUGAUCAUCCUCUCUGGGACUGAGACACGGUCCAUACUCCUACGGGAUGCAUCAGUGGGGAAUAUUGGACAAUGGGCGCAAGCCUGAUCCAGCAAUGCCGCGUGAGUGAUGAAGGCCUUCGGGUUGUAAAGCUCUUUCGCCCGCGACGAUGAUGACUGUAUCUGGAUAUGAAGCCCCGGCUAACUUCGUGCCAGCAGCCGCGGUAAU